CCUACGGGAGGCAGCAGUCGAGAAUCAUUCACAAUGGGGGAAACCCUGAUGGUGCGACGCCGCGUGGGGGAAUGAAGGUCUUCGGAUUGUAAACCCCUGUCAUGUGGGAGCAAAUUAAAAAGAUAGUACCACAAGAGGAAGAGACGGCUAACUCUGUGCCAGCAGCCGCGGUAAUACAGAGGUCUCAAGCGUUGUUCGGAAUCACUGGGCGUAAAGCGAGCGUAGGCGAUUUAGGAAGUCAGGUGUGAAAGGCGAUGGCUUAACCCGCGAACUGCAUUUGAAACUGCGAGUCUAGAGUAUGGGAGGGGGAGCUGGAAUUCUUGGUGUAGCAGUAAAAUGCGUAGAGAUCGAGAGGAACACUCGUGGCGAAGGCGAGCUGCUGGACCAUAACUGACGCUGAGGCGCGAAGGCGAGGGGAGCGAAAGGGAUUAGAUACCCUUGUAGUC
rnacentral:rRNA from 1 species